GUGAAGAAGGACGUGGCUACCGGCGAAACGUUUCGGGGAGUUGGAAGUAAGCUUUGAUCCGAAAGUAUCCGAAUGAGGAAACUCAAUAACUUCUUACUGAAUCUAUAAGUAAAGAAAGAGCAAACCUAGGGAACUGAAACAUCUUAGUACCUAGAGGAAAAGAAAGUAAAAACGAUUCCCUGAGUAGUGGCGAACGAAACGGGAACAGCCUAAACUUUUUUAAAUCGUAUGAUUUUGGAAAAGGGUUGUGGGAUAAAUAAGUUUUUCGUGAGCAAAAUACUUCCUUUUCAUCUGAAAAGAAAAGUACAAGCAGAAACGAAAAAUAAGAAAGAAACUCAAGCAAAAGCUAAGUCUUUUUUAGAAAUUAGGUGAAAUAACUGGAAAGUUAUACCAAAGAAAGUGAUAGUCUUGUAACCAAAAAUUUCUUACCAAUGAUUUAUUCCCGAGUAGCAUGGGGCACGUGGAAUCCCGUGUGAAUCUGCGAGGACCACCUCGUAAGGCUAAAUAUUCCUGAAUGUCCGAUAGCGCAUAGUACCGCGAGGGAAAGGUGAAAAGAACCCCGGGAGGGGAGUGAAAUAGAACGUGAAAUUGCAAGCCCACAAACAGAAAGAGAACGACUUAGCGUUUAAUUUCGUGCCUGUUGAAGAAUGUUCCGGCGACUUAUAGUUAGUGGCAGGUUAAGAGAGAGAUCUCGGAGCCAGAGUGAAAGCGAGCUUGAAUAGAGCGUUCGUCACUAAUUAUAGACCCGAACCCGGUUGAUCUAACCAUGGCCAGGAUGAAACUUAGGUAAUACUAAGUGGAGGUCCGAACCGACUGAUGUUGAAAAAUCAGCGGAUGAGCUGUGGUUAGGGGUGAAAUGCCAAUCGAAACCGGAGCUAGCUGGUUCUCCCCGAAAUGUAUUUAGGUGCAGCGGUUAAUAUUAUAGCGUAGGGGUAAAGCACUGUUUCGGUGCGGGCUGGUAAUUCGGUACCAAAUCGAGGCAAACUCUGAAUACUACGUGCACAGUUAACCAGUAAGACUAUGGGGGAUAAGCUUCAUAGUCAAGAGGGAAACAGCCCAGAUCACCAGCUAAGGCCCCUAAAUAAUGACUAAGUGAUAAAGGAAGUGGAAAGGCUUAGACAACCAGGAGGUUUGCUUAGAAGCAGCAAUCCUUUAAAAAGUGCGUAAUAGCUUACUGGUCUAGCAAUUCUGCGCCGAAAACUUACGGGACUAAGUCAUUUGCCGAAGCUGUGAGAUAGAAAGAAAAGUGUUAAGCUUAUCCUUUCUAUCGGUAGGGGAGCGUUCUGUUGUAGAGUGAAGUAUUAGCGAAAGCGGGUAUGGACGAAACAGAAGUGAGAAUGUCGGAUUGAGUAGCGAAAACAUUGGUGAGAAUCCAAUGCUCCGAAAACCUAAGGUUUCCUCCGCAAGGCUCGUCCACGGAGGGUUAGUCAGGUCCUAAGAUGAGGCUGAGAAGCGUAGUCGAUGGAGAAUAGGUCAACAUUCCAAUACUCGGUUCUAGCAGGUAUCGAGGGACGAAGAAGGCUAAACUAGCCAGAGAUUGGUUACUGGUUUAAGUAUUUGAGGUGUUGAAGAUUAGAGAAAAUAAUCUGAGCUGAGAUACGAAUACAAGAUUUUAAAAAUCAAAGUAGUUGAUGUCAUACUUCCAAGAAAAGCUCGCUAUGCCUUAUGCUAGAAUCACCUGUACCAGAAACCGACACAGGUAGGUAGGUAGAGAAUACCAAGGAGCGCGGGAGAACCCUCCUUAAGGAACUCGGCAAAAUAGCUCUGUAACUUCGGAAGAAAGAGUGCCUUUUAGGCUGCAAUAUCAAGUUCCAAGCAACUGUUUAGCAAAAACACAGGUCUCCGCAAAGUGGUAACACGACGUAUGGGGGCUGACGCCUGCCCAGUGCUGGAAGGUUAAAGAAGUCGGUUAGCGCAAGCAAAGCUGGUAACUGAAGCCCCAGUGAACGGCGGCCGUAACUAUAACGGUCCUAAGGUAGCGAAAUUCCUUGUCAGGUAAGUUCUGACCCGCACGAAUGGCGUAAUGAUUUGGAAGCUGUCUCGAGGAGGGACUCGGUGAAAUAGAACUAGCUGUGAAGAUGCGGCUUACCUGCGCCUGGACAGUAAGACCCUAUGAAGCUUUACUGUAUCCUGAAAUUGGAUUUCGAUUUUAUUUGCGCAGAAUAGGUGGGAGACGUUGAAAUUCUUCUUUUGGGAAGGAUGGAGUCAUUAGUGAGAUACCACUCUGAUAAAAUUAAAAUUCUAACUUCAUACCGUAAGCCGGUUGAAAGACAGUUUCAGGUGGGCAGUUUGACUGGGGCGGUCGCCUCCCAAAAGGUAACGGAGGCGUACAAAGGUUUCCUCAGAUCGGUCAGAAAUCGAUCUUUGAGUGCAAAGGCAAAAGGAAGCUUAACUGUGAGACAAACAAGUCGAGCAGAGACGAAAGUCGGUCUUAGUGAUCUGACGAUGCUGUGUGGAAAGGUCGUCACUCAACGGAUAAAAGUUACUCUAGGGAUAACAGGCUGAUCUCCCCCAAGAGUUCCUAUCGACGGGGAGGUUUGGCACCUCGAUGUCGGCUCAUCGCAUCCUGGGGCGGAAGUACGUCCCAAGGGUUGGGCUGUUCGCCCAUUAAAGCGGUACGUGAGCUGGGUUCAGAACGUCGCGAGACAGUUCGGUCCAUAUCCGGCGUGGGCGUUGGAGUAUUGAGAGUGACCUUUCUCUAGUACGAGAGGACCGAGAAAGAUGUACCGCUGGUGUACCAGUUCUUGUGCCAACAGGAAAUGCUGGGUAGCUAAGUACAGUUAGGAUAACCGCUGAAAGCAUCU
rnacentral:rRNA from 1 species